GUACACGCUGUGACUAGCAUAUCAAUAAGCGGAGGAAAAGGCUGCGGAACUGAACGACCGCUACCUACGCUUAGGAUGUUGACAGCAGUAUAGACUGUACACGCUGUGACUAGCAUAUCAAUAAGCGGAGGAAAAGAAACUAACAAGGAUUCCCCUAGUAACGGCGAGUGAAGCGGGAAGAGCUCAAAUUUGAAAUCUUAAAGGGUUUCCCUUUACGAAUUGUAGUUUAAAGAAGUGUUUUCUGUUGAGGUUUUGGUAAAAGUUCUUUGGAAUAGGACAUCAUAGAGGGUGAGAAUCCCGUAUUUGACCUUUACUUUCAACUUUGUGAUACACUUUCAAAGAGUCGGAUUGUUUGGGAAUGCAGUCCAAAAUGGGUGGUAAAUUUCAUCUAAAGCUAAAUAUUGGCGAGAGACCGAUAGCGAACAAGUACCGUGAGGGAAAGAUGAAAAGAACUUUGAAAAGAGAGUUAAACAGUACGUGAAAUUGUCAAAAGGGAAGCGUUUGACACCAGUGUUGUUUUUCUGAAAAUCAAUUAAAGAACUGUUUAUGCUAAGUUGUUUAGACUUUAUCAGCUAACUGUUUAGUUUUGAGCUUUUCUUUAAUGCACUUUUCAGUUAACAAGUCAACAUCAAUUUCUUUUGCUGUAAAAAGCUUGAGGAAGGUGGCUUGAGAUUCGUCUUAAGUGUUUAUAGCCUCUUGCCUAUGCAGUCGGAGAGAUUGAGGUCUGCAGCGUAGAUCCUACGGGGCUAAAUGCAUUUGUGCUAAGUUAUAGCAUUUCAUAGACAACUUGUUGACUAUGAUUUGUCUUGUAGCUUACUCGCUUAUGUUAUUUUACCUACGCUUAGGAUGUUGACAGCAGUAUAGACUGU
rnacentral:rRNA from 1 species